UAUCACUCCAAUUUAGAAGAUGUUCUAAACAUUGAUAUUGUCAUCACUGGCAUUGGUGAUCUGGUGAUCGGGUAGUGCGUUGGACAAGAUGCCGAGAAAUAGGAGAACGUUCAUUAAACGACAUAUUGACGAAUAUUGUGAAAAUUCAUCUUUGGCUGGAGUUAAAUAUGUUGUCGCUAAAGACAGAUCAGUAUUUGAAAGAGCUUGGUGGAUGAUCGCAAUCACAUGCAGUUUCCUGCUGAGUUUGUACCUGAUUAGAGGAUUGUGGGUCAAGUGGAAUGAUUCGCCUGUUAUAGUAUCCUUUGCAGAAAAGUCGACCUCUGUAUGGGAAAUUCCUUUCCCUGCUGUUACCAUAUGCAGCAGCAGCAGAGUGAGACGAUCGGUCUUCAAUUACACAAAGUAUUAUGAAAUGGAUGAUUAUGAACUCACUGAGGACGAAAGAAGAAAACUUUCUAGCGUUGAUUUGCUGUGUUUGAAACCUGAUGAGAAUGGAGAAGAACUGAUCAAUGAAUCAAGGAUUGACUCUCUAGAAGAGGUUGUUACAGAAGAAUUCAUAAAAAUAUGCGCUUGGGGAAACGGUUUAAACAUCAAUUGUAGUAAUCGUUUCACUCCAAUAAUGACUGAUCGAGGAUACUGCUUCACUUCAAACUCACUUAGUCAUUCCGACAUUUAUCAUGAAGAUGGAUUGAAUUCCAAGUAUCUGAAAUCACUUCCAAAUGCUAUCCAUUGGGACUUGGAGAAAGGCUACGAUAAUAAAGCUCCUUUGAACAUGUCUUAUCCACUCAGGGUCAACAACUCUGGCAAGAAGUUAGGCCUAUCGAUUCUGAUGAUGAUGAAUACCAGUGAAUAUGACAUGCUAUGCUCGGGCUUUCUAAAAGGAUUCACGGUAACAUUGCACAAUCCAGCUGAGAUUGCUCCUGUUUCUGAUCGGUAUUUUGAUGUGCCUCUCAACCAAAAAGUAUCUCUGGCUGUAAAGCCCAAUAUGAUGACAACUAGCAGCAAUCUCAGGAACUACAGUCCUGAACGCAGGCAAUGCUAUUUUGCACAUGAAAGGAAGCUUGCAUUCUUCAAAGUGUACACUCAAAAUAACUGUGAAAUGGAAUGCCAAACUAAUUACUCCUUGAAGGAAUGCGGCUGUGUUUGGUUCCACAUGCCAAGAGCAAAGGAUACUCCAAUCUGUGGUGGAAAGCGUCAUGACUGUGUAUUAUUCAAGGCUUUUGUUUAUCAUAUUCAUUAUUAGAAAUUCAUUUCAAGUAUCCUCAGUUCAUUGCAAGUCAACGUAGUGCUUUAUACGGACUAUCCAAUUUUCUUGGUAUUUGUGGUGGACUACUUGGAUUGACUAACGGUUUUUGCCUUCUGAGUCUGGUUGAAAUAAUUUAUUACUUGACAUUGAGACUUUACAACAAUUAUUAUUCCCAGGAGGAAGAAGAACGAAAUGACACUGAGAUGGAUGAUUUAGGAGAAUUAAAUGUGUGAGACUAUUGCUUGCUGCUUUUAAAAUCACAGUCAUAUAUAUAGCCAAUUGAAAGAAUUUUUCACGCAAAUGUGAAACAUGACUGAUUAAUUGUUUUUCACUCUAAACUUAUUGACACAGAGAUGUUGUGUUCCCAUAAAUGAGAGUGAAAUAAAUAAUAUUUU
rnacentral:misc_RNA from 1 species